rnacentral:rRNA from 1 species
AUGAAGUCAUCGCCGCCGCCGCCGCCCAUGCCGGCUGCUUCCGGCGCCUCCGGCGCAGCGCGGCACGCCCCAAGCUGCCGACGGUCCGCGCCUCCCUCCCCUCCACCCAGACUCUCUGCUCCCGGCCUCUACAGCCCGCUCGCAACCACACACCCAUGGCUAGGGUUUCGGGCAUGGCUUCGCCGGCGUGUCUCCGGUGGUCCCAGUUGGGGCACGCCAUGGGAGUUCCCCAUCCAUCACGGUCGCCGUUGUCAAGGGAUUCUUCAAGGAGAUGUCAAGGACGCCAUGGACAUGCAGCUCCUCGAGGUUUUAUCCCUCCUUUCCUCUGACAUCAAGUUGUAA